rnacentral:lncRNA from 1 species
AGUGACGUCACCGGUGUAGGUGUUGGGAGCUCCGUGCAGUUGCAGCUUGUAUCCAAUGGCUGUUGCCUAGGAGAUAGGACCGCCCUCUGCCAUCAAGACAGGGAACGUGGAUUUGCUCAUGCUCAGUUGAGUCCUUGUUUAUGUGCAGCUUGCCUAUGAAAAUACAGCUGGCUAACAAGAUUGGUGAUAGAAGCAUGCUCCAUCUACAGAUAUGGCUGUUGGAAGCAAAUGGCUCUAGACUGUGGUUCUCAACCUGGGGGGGGAGAUCCACCUUUUCAUAGGGGGUCACCUAAGACGAUCUUCAAAUCAGUAAACCAGACAACAUGAACCACUCCAUGGCUUUUGCUCAGUGUAAAGUCCCAUGACACGGCCCAUGGAACCACAUCAGAGUCUUUCUACUAUUUUAUCAGGGACUAUCACAGAAGAGAGUGUGGUGAGAUUGUUGGAGUCAGAGAUUGAGAAGAAACAGCUAAACAUGGUCUUCUGGACAUGGCAGGACCACUGCACUCAUGGACACAUGCCAGCUGGGUUUGGCUACACACACCCUGUGUAAGAUCAAGUUAAUCAAUACUCUAGAAUGCAAGAUGGAUGGAUUCAUGAUUCCUAUCCCUAGGGCAGUGAUCUAUGAUGGGACAGAAUGCCAGGUCCUGCGCAUGCUUAGGAAGUUUUCUACCCCUGAGUGACACCAUUAAUUUUUCUUUUAAAUCCUACAUCCUGAAGAAGAAUACAAGAAAAUGAGACCCUUGUUGCUGUAGUUUUCAAAAGACUGACAUGGUUAAUCUUGGAGAGAGAAGACCAAAGAGCCAGGUCUUGAACAAUCGGAGCUGCUCAGACUGCUGUUGCAGCUGCUGGAGAGAUAAGCACUUUGCAAGUGUGCUUCACCACUUCAUUUCCUUAUUUUAUGAAGGAGGCUUCUGCUUGUGUUUGACCUUGGGAU